rnacentral:rRNA from 1 species
UGGGGAAUAUUGCGCAAUGGGCGCAAGCCUGAUGCAGCCAUGCCGCGUGUAUGAAGAAGGCCUUCGGGUUGUAAAGUACUUUCAGCGAGGAGGAGGGCAUUGUGGUUAAUAACCGCAGUGAUUGACGUUACUCGCAGAAGAAGCACCGGCUAACUCCGUGCCAGCAGCCGCGGUAAUACGGAGGGUGCAAGCGUUAAUCGGAAUUACUGGGCGUAAAGCGCACGCAGGCGGUUGAUUAAGUCAGAUGUGAAAUCCCCGAGCUUAACUUGGGAACUGCAUUUGAAACUGGUCAGCUAGAGUCUUGUAGAGGGGGUAGAAUUCCAGGUGUAGCGGUGAAAUUGCGUAGAGAUCUGGAGGAAUACCGGUGGCGAAGGCGGCCCCCUGCAGCAAAGACUGACGCUCAGGUGCGAAAGCGUGGGAGCAAACA